GACGAACGCUGGCGGCGUGCUUAACACAUGCAAGUCGAACGGAAAGGCCGUGCUUUUGUGGGGUGCUCGAGUGGCGAACGGGUGAGUAAUACGUGAGAACCUUUCCCUUGACUUUGGGAUAACUGCAGGAAACUGGGGUUAUUACCCGAACGGAGUUCCUGCUGCAUGGUGGGGGUUGGAAGGUUUCUGCGGUUGGGGUUGGACUUGCGGCUUAUCAGCUUGUUGGUGGAGUAGUGGCUCACCAAGGCUUUGACGGAUAGCCGGCAUGAGAGGGUGAACAGCGCCAUUGGGACUGAGAUACGGCGCAGACUCGUACGGGAGGCAGCAGGGGGGAGUAUUGCACAGUAAGCCGGAGCGUGAUACAGCAACGCCGCGGUCGGAAAGACGGCCUUCGGGUUAUGAACCGCUUGCGCCUGUGACGGAGCGGGAAUGACGGUAACGGGUAAAGAAGCACCGGCUAACUACGUG
rnacentral:rRNA from 1 species